UACGUAGGGUGCAGGCGUUAAUCGGAAUUACUGGGCGUAAAGCGUGCGCAGGCGGUUUGCUAAGACAGGUGUGAAAUCCCCGGGCUUAACCUGGGAACUGCGCUUGUAACUGGCAAGCUUGAGUGUGGCAGAGGGGGGUGGAAUUCCACGUGUAGCAGUGAAAUGCGUAGAGAUGUGGGGGAACACCGAUGGCGAAGGCAGCCCCCUGGGCUAACACUGACGCUCAUGCACGAAAGCGUGGGGAGCAAACAGG
rnacentral:rRNA from 1 species